rnacentral:rRNA from 1 species
UACGUAGGGGGCAAGCGUUGUCCGGAAUCAUUGGGCGUAAAGAGCGUGUAGGCGGCUCGGUAAGUCCGCUGUGAAAGUCCAGGGCUCAACCCUGGAAUGCCGGAGGAAACUGUCGAGCUCGAGUCCGGAAGAGGCGAGUGGAAUUCCUGGUGUAGCGGUGAAAUGCGCAGAUAUCAGGAGGAACACCAAUGGCGAAGGCAGCUCCCUGGGACGGUACUGACGCUGAGACGCGAAAGCGUGGGGAGCAAACAGG